rnacentral:rRNA from 1 species
AGUGAACGCUGGCGGUAGGCCUAACACAUGCAAGUCGAACGGCAGCACAGAGGAGCUUGCUCCUUGGGUGGCGAGUGGCGGACGGGUGAGGAAUACAUCGGAAUCUACUCUGUCGUGGGGGAUAACGUAGGGAAACUUACGCUAAUACCGCAUACGACCUACGGGUGAAAGCAGGGGAUCUUCGGACCUUGCGCGAUUGAAUGAGCCGCUGUCGGAUUAGCUAGUUGGAGGGGGAAAGGGACACUAGGGCGCCGAUUAGUAGCCGGUCGGGGGAGGAAGAACAACAACCCCGGUUUUUAUUAACGGGCGAGCCUCACUCGCUCCCGGGGUGAGGGGGGAGUUUUUUUUUUCGAUAAAAGAGGAUUAAAAUCCUCCCCUUCUUCUUUACCAGAAAAGGGACUUGGGAAGAAAAUUGUCUUCAAACGAAGAAAAAACACAUACAUCCGGCCCCAAGU